rnacentral:lncRNA from 1 species
GAAGAAGAUAUGUACCCCUUAGAGGAGUUCCCAAAUAUAUUUUUUGAGCCAAAAUCAUCAAAUAUUUAUAUGAUUUCUGAUCCCAUGUGAUCAUUACUCAAAGGAGGGUGAGGAAAGUCAGGGGAUGACCCAGAUGAGGUUCCCAAAUAUCCUUUUUGUUCACACUCAUCCUAACUAAGGGAACACGGAGUUGAAUGUAAAACUUGAGUUAGAAAGAUACAUGAUUACUGAUGAAGAAUGAGGAAUGAAAA